AUACGGAGGGGGCUAGCGUUGUUCGGAAUUACUGGGCGUAAAGCGCAUGUAGGUGGUGCAAUAAGUUAGAGGUGAAAGGCCUGGGCUCAACCUGGGAACUGCCUUUAAUACUAUUGCGCUAGAGUUCGGGAGAGGGUAGCGGAAUUCCAAGUGUAGAGGUGAAAUUCGUAGAUAUUUGGAAGAACACCGGUGGCGAAGGCGGCUACCUGGACCGACACUGACACUGAGAUGCGAAAGCGUGGGGAGCGAACAGGAUUAGAUACCCGGGUAGUCC
rnacentral:rRNA from 1 species